rnacentral:rRNA from 1 species
GUCUUUUUGAUUAUAAUUUAAAGUCUGGCCUGCCCAAUGAUAAUUUGAAUGGCCGCAGUAUUUUGACUGUGCAAAGGUAGCAUAAUCAUUAGUUUUUUAAUUGAAAACUGGUAUGAAUGGUUGAAUGAGAAAAUAACUGUCUCAAUUUAAUUGUUUUAGAAUUUUAUUAUUAAGUUAAAAAGCUUAAAUAAUAUUAAAAGACGAGAAGACCCUAUAGAGUUUUAUAAAAAAAUGAAAAUUUAUAUUUAUUUAGAAUUUUUAAAAUUUAAUUUUAUUUUUUAUUUAAUUGGGGUGAUUGUAAAAUUAAAUAAACUUUUAUUUUAUAUAAACAUAAAUUAAUGAAUUUUUGAUCCAAAAUUUUUGAUUAUAAGAUUAAAUUACCUUAGGGAUAACAGCGUAAUUUUUUUUUAGAGUUCUAAUCGAAAAAAGAGAUUGCGACCUCGAUGUUGGAUUAAAGUUAAUAAUUGGUGAAGAAGCUAAUAUAUUAGGUCUGUUCGACCUUUAAAACUUUACA